UGGCCCUCCAGCCUGUUAACAACAAGGGCAGUGCCGCGGAGGGCGGCUCAGGAGCUAAGGACAGGAGAAAGGAGCAGGGAACUGCCUGGGGUGGCCAAGAGAAAGGCCUCUGCCUCCACUGUGAGGGCGAGUCUUCAGGCACAUAUCCACGUGGAUGAACCAAAGUCGAGAAAACCUCGAGGACGGGUGAGGCUGGGCGGUGACUCCCCGACAGCCCUGGGAGAGAGUCGGGGAUGCUGUCUCCUCUGAACAAAGACAGGAGGAGCCAACGGAAGGGAUGGGCCCAGCACAGAAAUGGGGCUCCAGAGAGACGGAAAGCUGAGAAAUGGGACCCCGGAUGUCGGGAAGCCACCUUGCCACCCGGUGCAGCUGAAGAUGGAAGGAGAGAGACCCCGGAAAGGAAAAAAAACUGAGUCCCAUUGAUACCACUUGAGCCCUGAAUCCAGCUGUACUCAAAACCAGACUCAUCUCUGGGACGUUCAGCUUUGCAAGCCAAUAAAUCCCUUUCGUGUUUUAAGUCAUUUUGAAU